rnacentral:rRNA from 1 species
UAAGGAAUAUUGGACAAUGCCCGCAAGGGUGAUCCAGCCAUGCCGCGUGCAGGAAGACGGCCCUAUGGGUUGUAAACUGCUUUUACACCGGAGAAAACCUCCCCUCGUGAGGGGAGCUGAUAGUAUGGUGAGAAUAAGCAUCGGCUAACUUCGUGCCAGCAGCCGCGGUAAGACGAAGGAUGCAAGCGUUAUCCGGAUUCAUUGGGUUUAAAGGGAGCGUAGGUGGACUGAUAAGUCAGUGGUGAAAUCUUCGAGCUUAACUCGGAAAUUGCCAUUGAUACUGUUGGUCUUGAGUACAGUUGCUGUGGGCGGAAUAUGACAUGUAGUGGUGAAAUACAUAGAGAUGUCAUAGAACACCGAUUGCGAAGGCAGCUCACAAAGCUGU